rnacentral:rRNA from 1 species
AUUGAACGCUAGCGGGAUGCCUUACACAUGCAAGUCGAACGGAGUUGCGAACGGGCGAGUAAUGUAUCGGAACGUGCCCAGUAGCGGGGGAUAACUACGCGAAAGCGUAGCUAAUACCGCAUACUAUUGGAGCGGCCGAUAUGGCAUUAGCUAGCUGGUAGGGUAACGGCUUACCAAGGCGACGAUCCGUAGCUGGUUUGAGAGGGCGACCAGCCACACUGGAACUGAGACACGGCCCAGACUCCUACGGGAGGCAGCAGUGGGGAAUUUUGGACAAUGGGCGAAACCCUGAUCCAGCAAUCCCGCGUGUGCGAUGAAGGCCUUCGGGUUGUAAAGCACUUUUGUCAGGAAAGCGGUACCUAAAGAAUAAGCACCGGCUAACUACGUGCCAGCAGCCGCGGUAAUAC